UUGAAAAUAUGACAGAAACAUGAACACAAGCAGUAACGAGAAAUUCAUGAACAGGAAAAGCUCAUAUAUGUGUUUUACAUAAGCGGUUUCCAAACGUGAUUGAUUUCAAAUGCUAUUUUCAUGAUGAUUCAGACGAUUUUCAAACGUGAUUCUAGUAUAAGAGCUUCUCAUAACUUCUUCACGAUGAUUCUCACGAAAUUCGCUCAUAAUUUCUAUUGGCUUUCUGUUUCGACUCGCGUUUGAAUUUGGUUCACGGUUGCGGUUCAGAACUAUUUCAAUAUGGUAACGAUUUUUCAGUUUUUGUGCGUUUGGAAUUCAGGUUUGCGUGUUUUGAGUUCGUGGUUUCAGUUCAGAAUUUUCUGUGUUCGGAAUCAACGGUUCAACAAUGAUUACGGUUCAAUUCCGGUUGAAAUUGGUGAUGAAGGAGGUCAAGUUUUUGCAUGAGUAAGAUGCUGAAUUUUAUAUAGUUUGUGUUCAUAAAAAGGUUUAGAUUCUCGCUAUAAUCGUAGACACAAGAUGAAAAGCAAGGAAAAUACAUAAAUAAGCAUACAAGCAAGCAAGCAUUCAUGGAACGGUAAAUAAAGUUUGAGGCUUACCAAUCGGAGACCCUUCGAUGGUUCUUCAACGGCGAUGCAAAUUCAAUAUGGUAAGUGAUUCUUUACGUUUACUUGUUAACUCUUACGAUUCAAUUCCUCUUCCUUUCUUCUUCACCCCCUUUCUUUUCUUCCAUUUGUUUUCUUGUUGUUGUUGUUGAUUCUUUUGCCACUUUUCAAUGCUUGAAUCAUGAAAAACUAUGAUGUGAAGUAUGGUGAAGGUAUAUGCUCAAGUUGAUUGAAGUUUCAAUAUGAAUCUUCAACAACCAUGGAUUUGAGCUCUAGUGAGAGAAGGUUGGAGAAUGGAGAGUGAAAACUUGAGAGAAAGUGAAUAAUGAUUGGAAUCAAAAAGUAAAGAAGAACCCAUUAGUGGGUGAAUGAUGAAUGAUUAUACAGAACUAUGCGGGGAUGAUUAGAGGUUGAGAAUUGGUUAGAAAUUAGUUGGGAUUGUUUUGGACACUUUGGGCAAUUGCCCAAAGUGGUUAGAAGUUGGUUUGUGGAAGUUUAAGAUGGUUAGGGUGGUUAAGACAUGGAUGUAUGUGAAUUUACAUGCAUGUGCAUAUGCUGAAUUUUUAGUGAAUGUGAGGGAAAUUAAAUGAAUUUACAUGACAUCACUUGAACACAUGCUUGAGUGUUUAUAUGAUAUGAAUGAAUUACAGAUGCACUUGGAUUGAUGUUCAUGGAUGAAAUGAUGUAUUACAUGAAUGCUGAAUUUUUCUAAUGCACAUGAUUUAUGGGGUUUUACUUGUUGUAUAGAAGUGAAAUAGAAAUGAUACAUAAUAUGGAAUUUAUAUUCACGGUAUAUACAUAACAUGCUGAAUUUUUAUUGAAUUUGACUUGUUUUUUAAUGGUUUUGCAUAUGAUGUGAAUGUAUGUGCAUGUGUUGAAUUUUAGAGAUGAAUGAUAUGAAUUUAAGAUGAUUUUUCAUGUGUAUUUUGUAAAUGCUAAUGAUGCUGAAUUUUUGUUAUAUAAGUGCUGAAUUUUUAGAAAUGAAUGUAAUUUCUAACUUAUUUUUAUUAUUUUCUUUGCAACAUGGUACAUGGUAAUGGAGCAUGAACAAACAUGAUCAGGAAUGAAGUAUGAAUGAAGACUAUUGAAGAGCUUUGAAUUAUUUUUAUUCUUUUGUGUAUGAAAACUAUGUAGUAUGCUUGUAAUGACAUAAAGUGAAGUCAUGUAAAUGUAAAAAUAAUUUUUAGUGA